CCUACGGGAGGCAGCAGUGAGGAAUAUUGGUCAAUGGCCGUAAGGCUGAACCAGCCAAGUCGCGUGAAGGAAGAAGGAUCUAUGGUUUGUAAACUUCUUUUAUAGGGGAAUAAAGUUAUCCACGUGUGGAUUUUUGCAUGUACCCUAUGAAUAAGCAUCGGCUAACUCCGUGCCAGCAGCCGCGGUAAUACGGAGGAUGCGAGCGUUAUCCGGAUUUAUUGGGUUUAAAGGGUGCGUAGGUUGUUUUUUAAGUCAGCGGUGAAAGUUUGUGGCUCAACCAUAAAAUUGCCGUUGAAACUGGAAGACUUGAGUGUGUUUGAGGUAGGCGGAAUGCGUGGUGUAGCGGUGAAAUGCAUAGAUAUCACGAAGAACGCCGAUUGCGAAGGCAGCUUACUAAGCCAUAACUGACACUGAAGCACGAAAGCGUGGGGAUCAAACAGGAUUAGAUACCCCUGUAGUC
rnacentral:rRNA from 1 species